GCGGGCGUAGCUCAACGGCAGAGCGCCGGCCUUCCAAGCCGGCCGUUGUGGGUUCGAGUCCCAUCGCCCGCUCCA
rnacentral:tRNA from 1 species